rnacentral:rRNA from 1 species
GACGAACGCUGGCGGCGUGCUUAACACAUGCAAGUCGAACGAAGUGGCGAACGGGUGAGUAACGCGUAAUCAACCUGCCCUUCAGAGGGGGACAACACUUGGAAACGUCUGCUAAUACCGCAUACUGAAGGAGGGGUUUGCGUCUGAUUAGCUAGUUGGCGGGGCAACGGCCGACGAAGGCGAUGAUCAGUAGCCGGGCUGAGCGGAUGAACGUCCACAUUGGGACUGAGACACGGCCCAGACUCCUACGGGAGGCAGCAGGGGGGAGUCUUCCGCAAUGGACGAAAGGCGGACGGAGCAACGCCGCGGGAGUGAUGACGGGCUUCGGGGUGUAAAGCUCUGUUAAUCGGGACGCGGUACCGGAAUAGAAAGCCACGGCUAACUACGUGCCAGCAGCCGCGGUAAUUC